rnacentral:tRNA from 1 species
CCUCGCGUUGUCCAACGGCAACGACGCCGCCUUGCCAGGGCGGAGAUGCGGGUCCGAUUCCCGCCGCGGGGUCCA